UACAGAGGUGGCAAGCGUUGUUCGGAAUUACUGGACGUAAAGCGCACGCAGGCGGCGCAUUAAGUCUGAUGUGAAAUCUCCCGGCUUAACUGGGAGGGGUCAUUGGAAACUGAUGUGCUUGAGGCGGUGAGAGGGGUGUAGAAUUCCCGGUGUAGUGGUGGAAUGCGUAGAUAUCGGGAGGAAUACCAGUGGCGAAAGCGGCACCCUGGCACUAGCCUGACGCUCAUGUGCGAAGGCGUGGGGAGCGAACGGG
rnacentral:rRNA from 1 species